rnacentral:SRP_RNA from 1 species
GCUCGGGCUUCGCGCGGCGUAACCUUGUGAACCCCGCGAGGACCGGAAGGUAGCAGCGGUAAGCGAGUUCUUACGGGUGCCGCGAACCACCUGAUCCUC